CCUACGGGAGGCAGCAGUCGAGAAUCAUUCACAAUGGGGGAAACCCUGAUGGUGCGACGCCGCGUGGGGGAAUGAAGGUCUUCGGAUUGUAAACCCCUGUCAUGUGGGAGCAAAUUAAAAAGAUAGUACCACAAGGGGAAGAGACGGCUAACUCUGUGCCAGCAGCCGCGGUAAUACAGAGGUCUCAAGCGUUUUUCGGAAUCACUGGGCGUAAGGCGUGCGUAGGCUGUUUCGUAAGUCGGGUGUGAAAGGCGCGGGCUCAACCCGCGGACGGCACAUGAUACUGGGAGACUAGAGUAAUGGAGGGGGAACCGGAAUUCUCGGUGUAGCAGUGAAAUGCGUAGAUAUCGAGAGGAACACUCGUGGCGAAGGCGGGUUCCUGGACAUUAACUGACGCUGAGGCACGAAGGCCAGGGGAGCGAAAGGGAUUAGAUACCCUAGUAGUC
rnacentral:rRNA from 1 species